GACGAACGCUGGCGGCGUGCUUAACACAUGCAAGUCGAACGGAAAGACCCUGCUUUUGUGGGGUGCUCGAGUGGCGAACGGGUGAGUAACACGUGAGUAACCUGCCCUUGACUUUGGGAUAACUUCAGGAAACUGGGGCUAAUACCGGAUAGGAGCUCCUGCUGCAUGGUGGGGGUUGGUAAGUUUCGGCGGUUGGGGAUGGACUCGCGGCUUAUCAGCUUGUUGGUGGGGUAGUGGCUUACCAAGGCUUUGAAGGGUAGCCGGCCUGAGAGGGUGACAGGCCACAUUGGGACUGAGAUACGGCCCAGACUCCUACGGGAGGCAGCAGUGGGGAAUAUUGCACAAUGGGCGGAAGCCUGAUGCAGCAACGCCGCGUGCGGGAUGACGGCCUUCGGGUUGUAAACCGCUUUCGCCUGUGACGAAGCGUGAGUGACGGUAAUGGGUAAAGAAGCACCGGCUAACUACGUG
rnacentral:rRNA from 1 species